UGGGGAAUUUUGGACAAUGGGCGCAAGCCUGAUCCAGCCAUGCCGCGUGCGGGAAGAAGGCCUUCGGGUUGUAAACCGCUUUUGUCAGGGAAGAAAUCUUCUGAGUUAAUACCUCGGGAGGAUGACGGUACCUGAAGAAUAAGCACCGGCUAACUACGUGCCAGCAGCCGCGGUAAUACGUAGGGUGCAAGCGUUAAUCGGAAUUACUGGGCGUAAAGCGUGCGCAGGCGGUUUUGUAAGACAGAGGUGAAAUCCCCGGGCUCAACCUGGGAACUGCCUUUGUGACUGCAAGGCUUGAGUGCGGCAGAGGGGGAUGGAAUUCCGCGUGUAGCAGUGAGAUGCGUAGAUAUGCGGAGGAACACCGAUGGCGAAGGCAAUCCCCUGGGCCUGCACUGACGCUCAUGCACGAAAGCGUGGGGAGCAAAACAGGAUUAGAUACCCUGGUAGUCCACGCCCUAAAACGAUGUCAACUGGUUGUUGGGAAGGUUCCUUCUCAGUAACGUAGCUAACGCGUGAAAGUUGACCGCCUGGGGAGUACGGCCGCAAGGUUGAAAACUCAAAAGGAAUUGACGGGGUCAUAGCUGUUUCCUG
rnacentral:rRNA from 1 species